CCGCCUCCGCGCCUCGCCCCGCCCACGCCCCGCGCCCGUCGUCGUCUUCGCGCGCGCGCGGGUACGACGACGACGUUGUCGCUCGGGGCUCGGCCUUUCUCUCGCGCCUCCUCGCGCUCCUCGUGCGCCGUCCGCGCGCGCGCGUGCCCGAAUUCCCGCGUCUUUCGUACGACGUUAGCCGCAACGGCCCGGUGGCGCUGCGAGGACGAGUUUGUUCUUCUCUGUAUACGGUCGCUUAAUGACGGCUGACAAAUCGCUGCCCAGCCUGAGUGCGGGAUCCAUCACGCGGUCCGCUUCCUUCGCACCUCUUCCGAGCGCGGACUUGUUCUUUUUCGCGAAACGUGUCCGCAGAUUCCUGCACGGGCUCUACGGGGAAACGACGCCGAAGUGAUCUGCAAUGGAAGCAAAGGCCAGAAAGGCCGAGAAUCCACCUUUGACAGCUCGCCGGACACAGCAGCGGUAAAUCACCCGAACUGCAUUUCCCCUUCUGCCCGAGAGUGCGUUUUGGCACUACUGUACGUUCGUGUGUUGUGCUACAAGGCGAAGGGAAUCUUCCUCUUAAAAGCCCGGCAAGGAAAAGGAAACGACGUCGCGACAAACAA